GUCGAGAAUCUUUCACAAUGGGGGCAACCCUGAUGGAGCGACGCCGCGUGGAGGAUAAGGUCUUCGGAUUGUAAACUCCUGUCAUGCGUGAACAAGGUUGCUUGGUUAAUACCUGGGCAAAUUGAUGGUAACGCAAGAGGAAGAGACGGCUAACUCUGUGCCAGCAGCCGCGGUAAUACAGAGGUCUCAAGCGUUGUUCGGAAUCACUGGGCGUAAAGGGUGCGUAGGGGGCGUGGUAAGUCAGAUGUGAAAGCCCGGGGCUCAACCUCGGAACUGCAUCCGAUACUGCCAUGCUAGAGUACUGGAGAGGUGACUAGAAUUCUCGGUGUAGCAGUGAAAUGCGUAGAUAUCGAGAGGAAUACCAAAGGCGUAGGCAGGUCACUGGACAGUUACUGACACUGAGGCACGAAGGCCAGGGGAGCGAACGGGAUUAGAUACCCCUGUAGUCC
rnacentral:rRNA from 1 species